rnacentral:piRNA from 1 species
UCACGUCGCUGCAUCCUCCUUGGUGAGC